rnacentral:tRNA from 1 species
GGGCCGUUAGCUCAGUUGGAUAGAGCACUCGCCUUCUAAGUGAGAGCGCGCGAGUUCGAGCCUCGCACGGCCCG